AUGCACUUUGUUUUCAAGCGCAGGGAGAAGAGGAAGGGUUGGUAUUCUGAGCGGAAUCUCCGUGAUUUGCCAGAGGAAACAGCACAGACCAGACAGCAGAAGCGCCAGCAUUUCCAUGCAGCUGCCACGACAGGUGACCGGGCCGCUUUGCAGACACCCCGCUCGCUCGGGGGGUUUCACCGAGGUGGGGCGGGAAGGAAGGGGGAAGCAGGGAGGGAGACUGGAGGACGAGAAGGUGGGCAGAGGCAGGGAGGGAAAUCCACUCCAUCCAGACGCUGGGGAGGAAGAGGAGGAGCACAGCCCCGUCUCCCUGGGGAAACCGUUUUAAGGGAUUUUCUGUCUCCACAAUUAAGAAAAAAAAAAAAAAUGGCUCCAAGCCAAACGCCUCCUGAUUUACACACACACACGCACACCAAGCUCUAUUUCGCCCCAUUUUCGUGUACGCUGAAACAAAAGGCUAAAUCAGCAGCCAGCGCCGCCCGGAGUCCGGUGUCCGCCACCCUCUCCCACCGCGCCCUCGGGAGAGCCCACCCAAGGCGGCCCGCCCGCCGCCCCCCGCCCGAGCACCGGCCCUCCCGCCGAGCCCGGGCGCUGCCGCCCUCCCCGCCCGGCGCCGCCCGACGCGCCCCCCGCCCGCGCGCGCACAGGGGCCUGGCCGGAGCCGGGGGGGCCGGGCGCCCACCUCGAGGGACGGGCGCCCGGCCGGGCUCGGGAGGGCGCUCCCGGCGGCGCUGGGGCCCGUCGCCUCCUCGCCAGGGAGGGCGGCAGCGCCCGGCCCCGGGCGCCCGUGACAGCGGCCCCGCUCCCGCCUCACCUCCGAGCGCCCGUGGCGGCGGCCCCGCGCUCCUCCGCGCCUCUCCGCCUCCGCCUCCAGCAGCCCCGCGCCGCCGCCGCCGCCACCGCCGCCGCCGCCGCCGCCGCCUCCCCCCCGCGUCUCGGCCGAGUCUCCGCCUCCCUCAGCCGCCGCCGCCGCCGCCACCGCCGCCGCCGUUGGGCCCGGCUCCGCGCCACGUGACCGCGCCACGUGACCCGGCGCGGCUGGCGGGCGCCUCCCCGCCGGCCUCGCGCCCUCGCGCGCGGGGAACCCGCGUCCCGGCGGUUGACGCCCGCCCCCGGUUGAGCUGGGCGCCCCCCGUUCCGCCGCCCUCACCUGGCCUUCUGCCCCCGCCCGGCCGGCCACCUGCUCCCACUCACGAAACCCCGAACUCCACAGCCCCUGCACGCUCACACGAACACACUCACGCGUGCACACGAGCACACACCGGCGCUCACAAGCGCACGCACUCACACGAGCACACACCAGCCCUCACGCGCGUGCACACGCACAUCUCGCAGCCCUCGCCUUUCAGGGCUACUUCACAGCCUGUGACAACAAUGAAAAUAAUUCAAGCAGUCCGGUCUGGACCCACCUAA
rnacentral:lncRNA from 1 species